AACGCAGGAGCCACAGGUGUGGCUCGGAACGGAGCCAUGGGUAACAGCUGAGAGUCUUCGGAAACCCGGGAACCUGGAUGCAGGAUCUCCAGGUCCCAGAUGAAGAGAUAAUUCUACUUACUGGAUAUAGGAUGCAUUAGAUCUUCUUACCUUUAAAAAAAAAAAAAAAGGCAGCAAUGAUCAAAAUACUAAUCAAUUACUUAUAGACUCAGUGUAUUUUUUCUUGGAGUAAAUGUCCAGGAUGGGUGAUAGAAUAAAAUGCUCUUGGCUUUUGGAAAAAUUGAUACUGUAUAUAGCAAAAUAAUGUGAAACCUGUAUGCAUGGAUAUUCUUAACAAUUUGAAGAAAUCUUCACAGUUUUCCUGGGUUGUUGAGCUUCUAAAAUGGUCUUUUCCUCGGAUGUGAUAAUAAAGUGUUUAUUCUGUACUCU